UUCGAACGCGCACGUCCGGUCCUGGAAUAAGUCGUGUGAUAAACAAACAACAGUUAGGCCAUUGUUUUGGAGACAAUUGAACGGUGGUUCGGUGCUUCGUAGCCAGCUCGGAUGAAUGAUUUCGGAUGGGCGGGUCCUGGCCUGCAAUCGAUGGGAUAAUGAAUGGGAGAAUGUAAUCGUAUGCUCGUUUAGCACCUACACGCACGGUUUGGGCUUUGUUGGACCGGCGAUUAGGAUCGGAUAUGAGUGAUGGCGCCCAAAUUGGACGGCUAAUUAGGGAGUUUGAAGGACGUGGAAAUGACCGGAGCCGGCCCUGGGGAGAGGCAUAGAGAGACGGCUGGGUUUUUUCGGGUUUUAAUGAUUAGUAAAUUGGGCGGCGAGAGGCAAUAAACCCGGACUAAGUAAUUGAAUUUCAGAAUUCUGAAUAAAUUUUGGAACUCAAUUUUUAGGAUGAAGGAUUGCAGGAAUGAUGACUUCAGAAACAACACCUUCAAAAUUUAGGUUUCUGAAUACGAAAUUUCAAGAUUUAGAAUUUUAAGAUUGAUUCAAAAUUCACAAUUUGAGCAUUUGCGAUUUCUGGAUUGAGUAUUUAAGAAUUUAAAAUUUCAUCAGUCCAUUUUAUGAGA